AAAAGUCAGGUGUCUAUAAGUAUGCGGAUUUGCCUCCCUCACCACUCCAUGUAGUCCCUCCAGAAGCUGCAUGCUUGGUGAAAGAGGACAACCAUCCUGAACAAAGUAGAGCUGGUCUUCAAUCAAGGGUAUAUGAGUAUCUGGGCUUCCCUGCUAGAAUCUCCCAAAUACAUCACUGUCAAUUUUUUUAUUUUCUGCCCUCAACAGGGGCUCCCCAAAGUCCACCACAUCAUCCUGGGCUGGGCAUAGGCCCUCCCCCAUGUGUCCAGGCCA
rfam:Cricetulus griseus cell line CHO-K1, whole genome shotgun sequence.